AUGUGCACAGCUGGCGCCCCCCGCCCGCGGCGCACAGCUGGGACGUGGGCCGCGCCUGGGCGGCGGGCGGGCGCAGUCCGGAGCCGGCGGUGGACGCGCCGGGCCUUCGCUGUCGGUCCGCGCGCCCGAGCGCCCCGCGCGCCGUGGGUCAUGGCCGUGCGCGCCGCGCGCCCCUGCCUGCUGGCACUCGCUCUGUGCUCGUGCUGGGGGGCGCUGGCCGAGGUCGCCCCCAGGCCGAGCAACGGGUGUCCCAGCCGCUGCCUGUGCUUCCGCACCACGGUGCGCUGCAUGCAUCUGCUGCUGGAGGCCGUGCCCGCCGUGGCGCCGCAGACCUCUAUCCUGGAUCUUCGCUUUAACAGAAUCAGAGAGAUCCAGCCAGGGGCCUUCAAGGGGCUGAGAAACCUGAACACAUUGCUUCUCAACAAUAAUCAGAUCAAGAGCAUCCCUGGCGGGUCGUUCGAAGACUUGGAGAGUCUGAAAUACCUCUAUCUGUACAAGAAUGAGAUCCAGGCGAUUGACCGGCAGGCCUUCAAGGGGCUUGCCUCUCUUGAGCAACUAUACCUGCACUUCAAUCAGAUAGAAACUUUGGACCCGGAGUCAUUUCAGCAUCUGCCGAAGCUGGAGAGGCUGUUUUUACAUAACAACCGAAUUACACAUUUGGUUCCGGGGACGUUCAAUCACUUGGAGUCUAUGAAAAGAUUGCGCCUGGACUCCAACGCACUUCACUGUGACUGUGAGAUCCUGUGGCUGGCAGACCUGCUGAAGGGCUACGCGCGGUCAGGAAACGCGCAGGCCGCGGCCACCUGUGAGUAUCCCCGGCGCAUCCAGGGCCGGUCGGUGGCCACCAUCACCCCGGAGGAGCUGGACUGUGAAAGGCCGCGGAUCACGUCAGAGCCGCAGGAUGCCGACGUCACCCUGGGCAACACCGUCUUCUUCACCUGCAGGGCUGAGGGCAACCCCAAGCCCGAGAUCAUCUGGCUGCGGAACAACAACGAGCUGAGCAUGAAGACGGAUUCUCGCUUGAACUUGCUGGAUGACGGGACCCUCAUGAUCCAAAACACGCGGGAGACAGACCAGGGCAUCUAUCAGUGCAUGGCGAAGAAUGUGGCUGGGGAGGUGAAGACACAGGAGGUGACCCUCAGGUACUUCCGGUCUCCAGCUCGCCCGGCGUUUGUAAUCCAGCCCCAGAACACAGAAGUGCUGGUCGGGGAGGGUGUGACCUUGGAGUGCAGCGCCACGGGCCACCCCCCGCCGCAGAUCACCUGGACCAGGGGCGACCGCAGCCCCGUGCCCACAGACCCUCGGGUGAGCAUCACCCCGUCCGGCGGCCUCUAUAUCCAGAACGUGGAGCAGGAGGACAGCGGGGAGUACACCUGCUUUGCCUCCAACACCGUGGACAGCAUCCACGCCACGGCCUUCAUCAUCGUCCAAGCGCUUCCUCAGUUCACCGUGACGCCCCAGGACAGGGCUGUCAUCGAGGGCCAGACGGUUGAGUUCCACUGCGAGGCAAAGGGCUACCCGCAGCCUGUCAUCGCCUGGACCAAAGGAGGGAGCCAGCUGUCAGUGGACAGGCGCCACCUGGUCCUGUCGUCGGGGACGCUGAGGAUCUUGGCCGUCGCCCUGCAUGACCAGGGCCAGUACGAGUGCCAGGCUGUGAACAUCAUCGGCUCCCAAAGGGUCGCCGCACACCUGACCAUCCAGCCCCGAGUCACCCCGGUGUUCACCAGCGUCCCCAGGGACAUGACGGUGGAGGUGGGCAGCAACGUGCAGCUGCCCUGCCGCCCCCAGGGCGAGCCGGAGCCCGCUGUCACCUGGAACAAGGAUGGGGUUCAGGUGACAGAAAGCGGGAAAUUUCACAUCAGCCCCGAGGGGUUCCUGACCAUCCGCGACGUUGGGACCGCAGAUGCUGGCCGCUACGAGUGUGUGGCCCGGAACACGAUCGGGCAGGCGUCGGUCAGCAUGGUGCUCAGCGUGAACGUUCCUGAUGUCAGCCGGAACGGGGACCCGUUUGUGGCCACGUCCAUCGUCGAGGCCAUCGCAACCGUGGACAGGGCCAUCAACUCCACGCGGACGCACCUGUUUGACAGCCGCCCUCGCUCCCCGGCCGGGGAGAUUUUCGAGCGGACGCUGCAGCUGAUCCAGGAGCACGUGCGGCACGGCCUGAUGGUGGACCUCAACGGAACCAGUUACCACUACAACGACCUCGUGUCCCCGCAGUACCUGAGCCUGAUCGCCAACCUGUCGGGCUGCACGGCCCACCGGCGCGUCAACAACUGCUCGGACAUGUGUUUCCACCAGAAGUACCGCACGCACGACGGCACGUGCAACAACCUGCAGCACCCCAUGUGGGGCGCCUCGCUCACCGCCUUCGAGCGCCUGCUCAAGGCCGUGUACGAGAACGGCUUCAACACGCCGCGCGGCAUCGACCCGGGCCGGCGCUACCACGGGCACCCGCUGCCCAUGCCCCGCCUGGUGUCCACGGCCCUCAUCGGGUCGGAGGCCGUCACCCCGGACGAGCAGUUCACGCACAUGCUCAUGCAGUGGGGCCAGUUCCUGGACCACGACCUGGACUCCACGGUGGUGGCCCUGAGCCAGGCCCGCUUCUCCGACGGGCAGCACUGCAGCUCGGCCUGCAGCAACGACCCGCCCUGCUUCUCGGUGGCCCUGCCGCCCGACGACCCGCGGGCGCGCAGCGGGGCGCGCUGCAUGUUCUUCGUGCGCUCCAGCCCCGUGUGCGGCAGCGGCAUGACGUCACUGCUCAUGAACUCCGUGUACCCCCGCGAGCAGAUCAACCAGCUCACGUCCUACAUCGACGCCUCCAACGUGUACGGCAGCUCCGAGCACGAGGCCCGCGCGGUCCGCGACCUGGCCAGCCAGCGCGGGCUGCUGCGCCAGGGCAUCGUGCAGCGCUCCGGCAAGCCGCUGCUGCCCUUCGCCGCCGGGCCGCCCACCGAGUGCAUGCGGGACGAGAACGAGAGCCCCAUCCCCUGCUUCCUGGCCGGCGACCACCGCGCCAACGAGCAGCUGGGCCUCACCAGCAUGCACACGCUCUGGUUCCGCGAGCACAACCGCGUGGCCGCCGAGCUGCUGGCGCUGAACCCGCACUGGGACGGCGACACGGUCUACCACGAGGCCCGCAAGCUGGUGGGCGCCCAGGUGCAGCACAUCACCUUCCAGCACUGGCUGCCCAAGGUGCUGGGCGAGGCCGGCAUGAAGAUGCUGGGCGAGUACCGCGGCUACGACCCGGGCGUCAACGCCGGCAUCGUCAACGCCUUCGCCACGGCUGCCUUCCGCUUCGGCCACACGCUCGUCAACCCCGUGCUGCAGCGGCUGGACGAGGACUUCCGGCCGCUGGCGCUGGGCCACGUGCCGCUGCACAAGGCCUUUUUCUCCCCGUUCCGCAUCGUCAACGAGGGCGGCAUCGACCCGCUGCUCCGCGGCCUGUUCGGCGUGCCCGGCAAAAUGCGCGUGCCAUCGCAGCUGCUCAACACGGAGCUCACCGAGCGGCUCUUCUCCAUGGCGCACACAGUGGCGCUGGACCUGGCCGCCAUCAACAUCCAGCGCGGCCGCGACCACGGCAUCCCGCCCUACCACGAGUACCGCGUCUACUGCAACCUGUCGGCCGCCCACACCUUCGAGGACCUGAGGAACGAGAUCAAGAGCCCCGAGAUCCGGGAGAAGCUGCAGCGGCUGUACGGCUCCCCACUCAACAUCGACCUGUUCCCGGCCCUCAUGGUGGAGGACCUGGUGCCCGGCAGCCGCCUGGGACCCACCUUGAUGUGUCUGCUCAGCACGCAGUUCAGGCGCCUUCGGGACGGGGACAGGCUGUGGUACGAGAACCCGGGGGUCUUCACUCCUGCCCAGCUCACCCAGAUCAAGCAGAGCUCCCUGGCCCGCAUCGUGUGCGACAACGCCGACAACAUCACGCGUGUGCAGAGAGACGUGUUCCGCGUGGCCGAGUUCCCGCACGGCUACAGCAGCUGCGACGAGAUCCCCCGCGUGGACCUCCGAGUGUGGCAGGACUGCUGUGAAGACUGCAGAACCCGGGGCCAGUUCAACGCCUUCUCCUACCACUUCCGAGGCAGGCGGUCUCUUGAGUUCAGCUACCAGGAGGAUGAGCCAGCCAGGGAGACAGGGCCCGGGAAGGCGCCAAGAGCCAGGAAGCUCCGGGCACCUCCCAGUAACGCCACAGACCCCUCCUUGGAGCAGCCGCAAGGGGCAGGGACAAGCGACUUCCGGGAGUUUGUCCUGGAGAUGCAGAAGACCAUCACGGACCUCAGGAAGCAGAUAAAGAAACUGGAGUCUCGGCUCAGCACAGACUGCGUGGACGCAGACGGCAGCUCGCACGCAGACGGGGCUGAGUGGACGCGGGAUCCGUGCACCACUUGUGAAUGCCGCGAUGGGCAGGUCACCUGCUUCGUGGAGACUUGUCAGCCGGCUGACUGCCCAGCGCCCGCCAGGGUCGGCGGGGCCUGCUGUCCCAUGUGCCCAGGAGACUCCACGGGGACGCAGCCCUGAGCGUCUGCGAGCCUGGAACUUGUCCCGGCCCCCGGGAGCGAGGCCGCACAGGCGGCGAGGCUGGGGUACGGGGACCACGGCUCGGGGAACCCCGGCCUGAGCGCUCGCCAGCAGACCACGGGGCAGACAUGUGUCCUGACUCCAUGUUGAGCUUUCUCAGGUUCCUAUUUAAUUUUUUUAAAUGAAAAAUUGGUGCUACUAUUAAAUUGCACAGUUCAAUCAUUUAGGCUCCUAAUUGAUUUCACCUAGUAUCACCGUUUCUUCUCAACUGAAAGUUAGUCCCGCUGGUCCCGGCGCCAGGAGCGUGCAGAGCGGAGCUGGCGGAGGAGGGACGCAGGAUUUGAAAGAGAAUCCGUCCCUGGCAAACAGCAGUCUGCACGGACGUGUGGCGGCAGCGCGGGCGGCCAGCACAAGCCCCCCGCGCCCCUGCCCCCAGCCCCUGCAGCUCCGCGGCCCCGCUGGAGAAGCUGCUGCACUCCCCUGUGACCGGCACACACGCCGCCGGGUGUGGGCCAGGCAGGGCGGCACCUGUCCCCACCAGCAUCACCCACGGCCUCCCGGCUUCGCCCGCCAGCGCCCACGGAUGAGCCACCACGCUCUCCAUCCCUGUUCCAAGGACGGGAGGAACGCGAGUGUCGGGGACUUUCUGACUUCAGGUUAUGAGAGUGCGUUCAAGAAAAGCAGCCGGUCCCUAUACCUCAUUCGUAUGCCCGCCGCGUGUGAUGUUGGAUAAAAUCUCACCCAUGUUUUAGCUUAGACACGGCAGAAACAGCACGUCCGCGCCGCUCAAGUUCUCGUGGAUUCAGUGAGAAACAACUUUCAUACCUCACAGCCCCCGUCUUCUUACUCGACCAGAACCUCCUGUUUGGUUCCAAAUGCAAAGUGGUCUGUGUUCUGAGAAACAGGUCCCUGGGUCUCCCGCUCGGUUCUCAGACCUGAGUGUCCAGCGCCGGCCACACGGUGCCCGCCCACGCUUCCUACUGGAG
rnacentral:lncRNA from 1 species